rnacentral:rRNA from 1 species
GUGGGGAAUAUUGCACAAUGGGGGAAACCCUGAUGCAGCGACGCCGCGUGGAGGAAGAAGGUCUUCGGAUUGUAAACUCCUGUUGUUGAGGAAGAUAAUGACGGUACUCAACAAGGAAGUGACGGCUAACUACGUGCCAGCAGCCGCGGUAAAACGUAGGUCACAAGCGUUGUCCGGAAUUACUGGGUGUAAAGGGAGCGCAGGCGGGAGAACAAGUUGGAAGUGAAAUCCAUGGGCUCAACCCAUGAACUGCUUUCAAAACUGUUUUUCUUGAGUAGUGCAGAGGUAGGCGGAAUUCCCGGUGUAGCGGUGGAAUGCGUAGAUAUCGGGAGGAACACCAGUGGCGAAGGCGGCCUACUGGGCACCAACUGACGCUGAGGCUCGAAAGUGUGGGUAGCAAACAGGAUUAGAAACCCCUGUAGUCC